rnacentral:rRNA from 1 species
AGUGAACGCUGGCGGUAGGCCUAACACAUGCAAGUCGAACGGCAGCACAGUAAGAGCUUGCUCUUACGGGUGGCGAGUGACGGACGGGUGAGAAGUACAUCGGAAUCUACUUUUUCUUGGGUGAUAACGUAGGGAAACUUACGCUAAUACCGCAUACGACCUACGGGUGAAAUCAGUGGAUCUUGGGACCUUUCGCGAUUGAAUUAGCCGGUGUCGGAUUAGCUGGUUGGCGGGGUAAAGGCACACCAAGGCGACGAACCGUAGCGUGUCUGAGAGGAGGGCCGGCCCACUUGGACCUGAGAAACGUCCCAGACCCUUACGGGAGGCAGAAGUGGGGAAUUUCGGACAAUGGGCGAAAGCCUGCGCCAGCCAUACCGCGUGGGUGAAGAAGGCCUUCGGGUUGUAAAGCCUUUUUGUUGGGAAAGAAAAGCAGCAGGUUAACACCCCGCUGUUCGGCCGGUCCCAAAAGAAUAGGCACCGCCAAACUCCGU